UACGUAGGGGCCGAGCGUUGUCCGGAGUUACUGGGCGUAAAGCGCGCGCAGGCGGCUCGUCAAGCCUGACGUGAAAGCCCCCGGCUCAACCGGGGAGGGUCGUCGGGGACUGGCGGGCUUGAGUGCGGAAGAGGCGAGUGGAAUUCCUGGUGUAGCGGUGAAAUGCGCAGAUAUCAGGAGGAACACCAAUUGCGAAGGCAGCUCGCUGGGACGUUACUGACGCUGAGACGCGAAAGCGUGGGGAGCAAACAGG
rnacentral:rRNA from 1 species